rnacentral:rRNA from 1 species
GCAUGUCUAAGUAUAAGCAAUUAUACCGCGAAACUGCGAAUGGCUCAUUAUAUAAGUUAUCGUUUAUUUGAUAGUACCUUACUACUUGGAUAACCGUGGUAAUUCUAGAGCUAAUACAUGCUAAAAAUCCCAACUUCGGAAGGGAUGUAUUUAUUAGAUUAAAAACCAAUGCCCUUCGGGGCUCCUUGGUGAUUCAUGAUAACUUCUCGAAUCGCAUGGCCUUGUGCCGGCGAUGGUUCAUUCAAAUUUCUUCCCUAUCAACUUUCGAUGUUUGGGUCUUGGCCAAACAUGGUUGCAACGGGUAACGGAGGGUUAGGGCUCGACCCCGGAGAAGGAGCCUGAGAAACGGCUACUACAUCCAAGGAAGGCAGCAGGCGCGCAAAUUACCCAAUCCCGACUCGGGGAGGUAGUGACAAUAAAUACUGAUACAGGGCUCUUUUGGGUCUUGUAAUUGGAAUGAGUACAAUUUAAAUCCCUUAACGAGGAACAAUUGGAGGGCAAGUCUGGUGCCAGCAGCCGCGGUAAUUCCAGCUCCAAUAGCGUAUAUUAAAGUUGUUGUGGUUAAAAAGCUCGUAGUUGAACCUUGGGCCUGGCUGGCCGGUCCGCCUCACCGCGUGUACUGGUCCGGCCGGGCCUUUCCCUCUGUGGAACCCCAUGCCCUUCACUGGGUGUGGCGGGGAAACAGGACUUUUACUUUGAAAAAAUUAGAGUGCUCCAGGCAGGCCUAUGCUCGAAUACAUUAGCAUGGAAUAAUAGAAUAGGACGUGUGGUUCUAUUUUGUUGGUUUCUAGGACCGCCGUAAUGAUUAAUAGGGACAGUCGGGGGCAUCAGUAUUCAAUUGUCAGAGGUGAAAUUCUUGGAUUUAUUGAAGACUAACUACUGCGAAAGCAUUUGCCAAGGAUGUUUUCAUUAAUCAGGAACGAAAGUUAGGGGAUCGAAGACGAUCAGAUACCGUCGUAGUCUUAACCAUAAACUAUGCCGACUAGGGAUCGGACGAUGUUAUUUUUUGACUCGUUCGGCACCUUACGAGAAAUCAANNUGCUUNGNNNNNNNNNGG